rnacentral:rRNA from 1 species
AAGUCGAGCGGACCGACGGGAGCUUGCUCCCUUAGGUCAGCGGCGGACGGGUGAGUAACACGUGGGUAACCUGCCUGUAAGACUGGGAUAACUCCGGGAAACCGGGGCUAAUACCGGAUGCUUGAUUGAACCGCAUGGUUCAAUCAUAAAAGGUGGCUUUCAGCUACCACUUACAGAUGGACCCGCGGCGCAUUAGCUAGUUGGUGAGGUAACGGCUCACCAAGGCGACGAUGCGUAGCCGACCUGAGAGGGUGAUCGGCCACACUGGGACUGAGACACGGCCCAGACUCCUACGGGAGGCAGCAGUAGGGAAUCUUCCGCAAUGGACGAAAGUCUGACGGAGCAACGCCGCGGUGAGUGAUGAAGGUUUUCGGAUCGUAAAACUCUGUUGUUAGGGAAGAACAAGUACCGUUCGAAUAGGGCGGCACCUUGACGGUACCUAACCAGAAAGCCACGGCUAACUACGUGCCAGCAGCCGCGGUAAUACGUAGGUGGCAAGCGUUGUCCGGAAUUAUUGGGCGUAAAGCGCGCGCAGGCGGUUUCUUAAGUCUGAUGUGAAAGCCCCCGGCUCAGCCGGGGAGGGGUCAUUGGAAACUGGGGAACUUGAGUGCAGAAGAGGGGAGUGGAAUUCCACGUGUAGCGGUGAAAUGCGUAGAGAUGUGGAGGAACACCAGUGG